UACCUGCGCCACGAGUGGUAACCACGCUUAUUGGGUUUAAAGCGUUCGUAGCCGGCUUGGAAAGUUUCUAAUGAAAUCCCACAGCUGACUGUGGGGCUUGUUAGAAAUACUUCCAGGCUUGGAACCGGGAGAGGUCGAGGGUAUUAUUGGGGUAGGGGUAAAAUCCUAUAAUCCCAAUAAGACCACCUGUGGCGAAGGCGCUCGACUAGAACGGAUUCGACGGUGAGGGACGAAAGCUAGGGGAG
rnacentral:rRNA from 1 species